CUUCCGUGAACCCAGUGAGUGAGGAAGUCCAGCUCGAAGGAAUUGAAUUGACUGCAAGUCUUGGUGAGUAUGCCUGCAUAUUCUGUAUGACUACAUUUCCCAUUCCUCCAUAUCCACAACUUCAUAUCCACAACUUUCUCAAUGAUCUCUCUGACUCUGACCAUUACCAUGGGGUGUGGGAUGUGUGUGUGUGUGUGGGGGGGGGGGGAGCGGGAAGGGCUCUUAUCACUUGAUAAUGUUGUUUGUAAUACCAUUAAAUAGUUACCAUGGUCAAAAAGCAUUAAACCAUCAUUGAAUUUAACACUAGUGUGUUCCACGGUCAAACUCAAUUUGUAUUACGCCUUCCCACAAUUGACGGAUGGUUAAACAGUUAUAUUAUUUUCAGAAACUCGUCUUCAAGAGUUAAGGGGUACCCUUGCCUCUGAAGCUCCAGUGGCAAAAGCAGACAUAACCUGGACACAACGGCAGGUGCUCGCUGGAGUUAGGGCAAAAUUAGCAAGGCCAUUACUCCUAGAUGCCAAACUCUCGGCACAGAGAGCAUUACAGGAAACAUGCCAGAAAUGCCACGAAGAGGAGGCAGUUAUUCGGUGCCUUGAGUGUGUCCCACUGGACUUUGAGUACCUCUGUGGCAAGUGUGACAUAGAGGUCCACAGGAGGCAUGUCUUCCAUGGCAGGGUGGCAAUAUUCCAUGGCUAUCUGGAGCCUAUUCCCCCUACAAAGGCAGUGGUGGUGGAUGGGAAUGGCCAGCCUCAUUUUUCCGAGCAGGUAUGUCAGUUGCCAAUGCCUGCCCAAAGGGUAAUAUGUGGUUGCACUGAAGAGGCUGAGGUUACCACUGGGAGGCAUAUUGCAGUGGUCACUAUAAAUGGACGAUACGAGAUGUGUUUACCCCGAAAGGUCUGCUCUUGCUGCACAACAGAAUGGACUCCAGGGGUAAAGGACCUUCUACAGUAUAAUUACUGGCCAAGCACUACCAACUGCCAGACUUUAUAUUCGUUUGAUGUUUUUGAGGCAUUUUCAAACAUAAAGUUGGCAGCUCCCUCCCUGUCGAGGCAUGCUUUUUUAAAGCUUCUGGAGCACCAGUCUUUUCGAGGAGGAAGGGUAAGUCUGCCUGAAUCGCAUUGUAACACACAAUUAUAACUGUAUUUGUAAUUUUGUGGGUAUGUUUCUUUUUUUGAAAUCCUAAUAGAUUUUUUUUUUCCUUUCAUAGCCAGGGAAAAUCUGUGCAGAUAUGUUCCAGAGGAGCUACUUUGAAUAUUGCUUAUGCAAGCACACAGAGGACACAAUGUCUGAAGUUGACCCUUUUUGCUGUCCAGCCUGUCAACCUGAUAUGUUGGCAGUAUGCUGUGAUGGCAACCGGAAACAUUAUCGUUUCAAAAAGUCAAGGGGGUAUGUAAAUAUUACACAGACGUUAAUGUAGCUAUUUGAACAACAACAUUGUCAUUGAAAUAGUUUCAUGUCGAGUAAUGUGUCGUUAGUUAAAUAGGCAUUUUGUGAUCAUUUGCAAUGCACAGAACUGAGGAACCCUCUUUAUAUGAGGGCUUGUUCAUAGCCAAAGACGAUGAAGUUCUGGCCUUUCAGGAGAAUAUCAGAGGAAGCAGCGGGGCAAGAGUAAGUUUGAUUCUGCAUACCACAAUCUGUUUAUGUAUGUGUGUAAGGUAUGUGUUUCUAGUCCAAAUGAGUAACAGCUGACUUCACAGGCAAAUGACAAUGGGACAUGUGGGGUGUCAAGGUUCAGGGCAAGUAAGGAGGCCUCAAAGAAAUCUUCCUCAAAAAUUGAUGAAGAGGGCAUACAGGUGGCAGUCUGCAGGUAUGUUGGUAUGUCAGAAGAAUGUUAUUGUACAGUGCCAUUUGCCACUCAUGUUGUGGACACAUACAUCUGAAUGUCAUAUUUGAUGUACAGUAAAAAAUCAAGAAAUGUGAGUGUGUGAGGUUUUGAGCAACUCUUUGUGUGUAAGUUGAUGAUUAUCCAUAUUGUCUCUUAUCAAUCAGACAUGGGAUAUUAUUGCGAGGACUGAACCACUACCGUGGCGAAAUAUUUGCCUACCCCAUGUUUUUGCAGAAAGAAUUGGGAGAGAGGGCAAAUGUCACUUUCUUCUGCAUGGAUGUUGUCUGCAGGUAAUUUCUCUUUGUCAACCU
ensembl:lncRNA